UACGUAGGCGGAAAAUUAAGUCAGUAGUGAAAUCCUGCAGCUUAACUGUAGAACUGUUAUUGAUACUGGUUUUCUUGAAUAUAGUUGAGGUAGGCGGAAUAUGUAAUGUAGCGGUGAAAUGCUUAGAUAUUACAUAGAACACCGAUUGCGAAGGCAGCUUACUAUACUGUGAUUGACGCUGAGGCACGAAAGCGUGGGGAGCGAACAGGAUUAGAUACCCUGGUAGUCC
rnacentral:rRNA from 1 species